GACGAACGCUGGCGGCGUGCUUAACACAUGCAAGUCGAACGGAAAGGCCCUGCUUUUGUGGGCUGCUCGAUUGGCGAACAGGUGAGUAACAGGGGAGUAACCUGCCCUUGCCUUUGUGAUAACUUCAGGAAACUAGGGCUAAUACCGGCUAGUAGCGCCUGCUGCAUGUUGUGGGUUGGUAAGUUUCGGCGGGUUGGGAUGGACUCGCGGCUUAUCAGCUUGUUGGUGGGGUAGUGGCUUGCCAAGGCUUUGACGGGUAGCCGGCCUGAGAGGGUGACCGGCCACAUUGGGACUGAGAUACGGGCCAGACUCCUACGUGAGGCAGCGGUGGGGAAUAUUGCACAAUGGGCGGAAGCCUGAUGCAGCAACGCCGCGUGCGGGAUGACGGCCUUCGGGUUGUAAACCGCUUUCGCGUGUGACGAAGCGUGAGUGACGGUAAUGGGUAAAGAAGCACCGGCUAACUACGUG
rnacentral:rRNA from 1 species